UGGGAGUGCGGGCCAGAGGCCGCGGGAGGACGCACGUUGUGAAGUAUAUGUGGAAGCGCUGGGCUGAAAGGGGGGGUAUGCGGCUGGUGAAGUAGGGUGUGAAAGCCCCCGGCUCAACCGGGGAAUUGCGCCCGAAACUGGGGGGCUGGAGUGAGAUAGGGGUGUGUGGAACUUCCGGUGGAGCGGUGAAAUGUGUUGUUAUCGGAAGGAACGCCGGUGGCGAAAGCGACACACUGGAUCUUGUCUGACGCUGAGGCACGAAAGCCAGGGGAGCGAACGGGAUUAGAUACCCGGGUAGUC
rnacentral:rRNA from 1 species